UUCGACUGGGAGACCGUGUCGCCUUGCAUGCUGGGAUGUGUAGUCCCGGUCGCAGUGCGGGCUGGGAGCCGGCUUUGUCUUGGGGGACUCGCGUGAGAGGGGGAGCUUCCCUUUAUCGCUUUUCGCUCGUUUUCCAGCCACAGCGUUAUUUUGUUUGCCUGCUUGUUCGCACAUGGGAGAAAAAGCAAAGGGACAAAGAGGAUCCUGUGUCUUCUCUAUUCUGAACUAUAAUGGGGAUACUGAAACCCCCAGGUGGAAGAAGUUAACUACCUGAUGACCAGGCUGUAGCCAUGACAGAAGCUGCCACAAUUCUGAGGACUGGCCUCAAAGAAAUGGGAACAAACUGACCCUGGAACUAGAGACUAACUGCAUUUAAAACAAUCGCGAUGACGCUGGUCAGACCACUGCAUGACUGACUUCAAGAUGCCUGUCAGAGCUGCCUGUGACUGUGCUCUUUCUCCAGGUAGCCCCCUCCCUCCAUGUGUACAGCUCUUGCCCCCUGAUUGUCUGUGAGGGGAAUUGGCCUUUGGAGAGGGGUCUGCCCUCCCUCAGAACUGCCCACCCCAGUUCCGGUUGCUGACCUCCAAAAUAAAGCAAACUUCCCUUUCCACCAA